rnacentral:lncRNA from 1 species
AACUUGUCAAAAAGCACGAAUUCUGCACAUGUCAGUGACCAAGCCUCAGUGGUUCUGGAAGUUCAUGGUCCGGCUUCCAGUAGGAGGUAGAAGACAAGAUUCAUGAAAGACCUGGGGGAUAGUUGGGACCAGCGAAUGGUUGCAGGAAGUGGAGCCUUCAGGUCAAUGGUGACUCCUGGCACAGCUAGGACCAGAACUCAGAUUUCCCAGCACCCAGACAUCCCCUUCCCACCCUCGCUUCUGCAAAGCCUGCAUUCGGUGGUUAGAGAAUAGUGAAGGGCAGACAGGAAUGCCUUCCUACUUCUUUCUAACAGAGAAGUUGAAGAAGAAAGAAGAAGAAAGAAGAAGAAGAAAGAAGAAGAAGAAGAAGAAGAAGAAGAAGAAGAGGAAGAAGGAAGAAGAAGAAGAAGAAGGAAGAAGAAGAAGAAGAAGGAAGAAGAAGAAGAAGAAGAAGAAGGAAGAAGAAGAAGAAGGAAGAAGAAGAAGAAGAAGGAAGAAGAAGAAGAAGAAGGAAGAAGAAGGAAGAGGAAGAGGAAGAGGAAGAAGGAAGAGGAAGAGGAAGAAGGAAGAGGAAGAAGGAAGAAGGAAGAAGAAGAGGAAGAAGGAAGAAGAAGGAAGAAGAAGAAGAAGAGGAAGAAGGAAGAAGAAGAAGAAGAGGAAGAAGGAAGAAGGAAGAAGAAGAAGAAGGAAGAAGGAAGAAGAAGAAGAAGAAAGAAGGAAGAAGAAGAAGAAGAAGAAGAAGAAACAACCUACAUCUCAGUGCCCAGAGGAGUAAAAACAAUUA